CCAUAUCCCCUGUAUCCCCAUAAUCCCCCAUAACCAUAAAGGCCUGGGUAACCGCAGUGUCCUCCAUAGCCCAAUAAUCUCCCAUAACCCUAAGGGCCCCUGUAUCCACCUAAUCUCCCUAAACCUCCAUAAUGGCCUCCAUAGCCAUACAAUCCUCCCAAACCGAAUGAGCCCCCCAAACCGGCUCCCACCACAAGUGCUCCUACAGCUGCCACUUCGCUUUGUUGUGGGAAAUUGCUGAGAAUUGAUUCGGGGAGGGUCACAACAACCGGUGAGGGUCUGAUCACCACUUCGGAGUCAGGGCAGUGCCUAACGCACGGCUCGUUGGAGCUGCCAGUAACUGGACUAGGCCGGGCCACCCUGCAUUCUGGAUAGCACAGGCUGGAGAAAGUCAUCUUUCUGGGGUGGAGGUCAACUUGCAACACACAAGAGGGAUGAGAGUAAAGAGAAGGUAGAAGUGCUGGUGGAAGAAAGGCUUCAAAGCUCAGUUACAACUGUAGCGAGGUUUGCAUGGGGCCCGAG